rnacentral:rRNA from 1 species
AUGCUUUGUGUCGCCCCUCGCCUCGUCGGCUUCGACUCCGACCAGAUGCGCCCGAGGAGCUCCCCAAGCGAGCUCGCCCGCGGCCCCUGCGUUCCUCGCCGCCGUCGCGCCCCUUCCGUCAGCGCCGCGGCCUCGCCCUUUCUCCUCCUGCAUUGUGCGCCCCGCAAGCCACUAGGAGGCGUGCUCCUCGUGAGGCACAUGAGCUUCUUCAGUCUCGCCGGUUGCCUCCCCGCCACCUUCGCGCCCGGAUCCAUCCGGAUUGAGCCGGCCUGCCGCCACCAUCGCGCCUUCCGACGUCGUCCAGACCUUGCUGCCCCUUUUGUUGUUGCCAAUUUCCUCGAUCGAGGGACCCCAAGACCGCCAAGUCCCUGCUUCGCGCCCCUGUUGUGGUUAGCGCCAAGGCCAACAGUCACCGAGCAUGGAUUCGCCAUGUACAACUACGGACACCCAUGGAUUUCACCAAAUACCUCUACCGACGACGCCGAACAUCUACGGCCGUGUACCACUACUUCCUCUACCGAUGACUCGAAUGUCUACGACCCGUGUACCACUACUUCCUCUACCGACGACCCCGGACAUCUACGAAACGAACGUGUACGACUACCGUCGCCGUGUACGACUACUUCCACUACCGUCGUGAGAACAACUACUUCCACUACAUCACGAGAACGUCUACUUCCCUCUAUGAACUCGCUCUGCCCAGAAACGCUCGCUUCAAAGCUUCGGUUUCGUUCCGGAGUUGUGAGGAUUCGUUCGACUACGUCCGUUUGUCUUCUUCAUGGACUCGUUCUUCUUCCUAUCAGGAUUUCAGUUGCAGGUGCCGAUGAUACCAGUGCAGGUGAUGCAACCGAGCUCAGAUGGGAGCUCAACGAAGAUCUUAGUUGUUGCUAUGUUUCGUUUCAUGUUGAUUAG